UCCGUAGGUGAACCUGCGGAGGGAUCAUUACAGAGUUGCAAAACUCCCUAAACCAUUGUGAACGUUACCUAUACCGUUGCUUCGGCGGGCGGCCCCGGGGUUUACCCCCCGGGCGCCCCUGGGCCCCACCGCGGGCGCCCGCCGGAGGUCACCAAACUCUUGAUAAUUUGUGGCCUCUCUGAGUCUUCUGUACUGAAUAAGUCAAAACUUUCAACAACGGAUCUCUUGGUUCUGGCAUCGAUGAAGAACGCAGCGAAAUGCGAUAAGUAAUGUGAAUUGCAGAAUUCAGUGAAUCAUCGAAUCUUUGAACGCACAUUGCGCCCGCCAGCAUUCUGGCGGGCAUGCCUGUUCGAGCGUCAUUUCAACCAUCAAGCCCCCGGGCUUGUGUUGGGGACCUGCGGCUGCCGCAGGCCCUGAAAAGCAGUGGCGGGCUCGCUGUCGCACCGAGCGUAGUAGCAUACAUCUCGCUCUGGUCGCGCCGCGGGUUCCGGCCGUUAAACCACCUUUUUAACCCAAGGUUGACCUCGGAUCAGGUAGGAAGACCCGCUGAACUUAAGCAUAUCAAUAAGCGGAGGA
rnacentral:rRNA from 1 species